AUUCCUGUGUUGUCAUCAUCGUCAUCCAUGGGUUCACCACUGUUUUGGAUUGGAGUUGGAGUUGGUCUGUCAGUCAUUUUUCAAGUGGUUGCAAAUAGAUUAAAGGUGAGUCCCUUUGCAGCUUGUGCCCUUUGUAAGAUUAUCUCUAUCCUAAGAAUCUUAUUUUCAGUUAGAAAGUGCUUGAUAUUAGAAAUUUAUUUCUAGAUUGUGUGAAUUUCUUUGGAAGUUGGCUUAACAUGUUGUCAUUGGUUUGUGAAAGUACACUGUCCAGGUCUCUUUUGGAAAUAACAAGAUGAUCUUCCUAUCCUUAGAAAGGUUUUGCACAUUCUUGGCUUCCUUUUGUUAGUGCUUUGUAUAUCGUGAAUAAGAAAAUGCUCAUAUCAUAGGGCAGUUAUAUCAUGAAAUAGGUUGGGAUGAUAUGUUC